CUGGGUGGCGCUGUGACUCCCGCUGACUGAGGCGCAGGCAGCAGAAGAAAUGGUUUCAGUGGUGGAAGUGCUGUGUCUCCUCCUGGUCGCUGCGUUAUGGGGAGCCACCAACCCCUUCCUCAGGAAAGGAACCGAGGGCAUCGAGCACGUUAGGAAAGGAGAUAAGAUCUCCCAGUUCCUGGCUGAAAUCAAGUUCCUGUUCCUCAACAUCAAGUAUCUGGUGCCGUUUCUGCUGAACCAGAGCGGCUCGGUGGUCUUCUACCUCACCCUCGCUGCGACAGAUUUGUCUCUGGCCGUGCCGACGGUCAACUCGCUCAGCCUGGUGUUCACGAUGGUCACCGGGAAACUGCUCGGGGAGGAAUUUGGAGGAAAAAGUGCGGUGUUGGGGAUGGUGCUCACUACAGCUGGCGUGACGCUGUGUGUGUUGAGCUCCGUCUCAGAGGCCGACAGUGCAGGAGUCCACACCACACCAUGAAUCUGGACCAGGACGAUCUUUGUCAUGGUGAACGUCAGUACUUUGAGCAGGACAUGUUCCCGGAACGAUAUUCCUUUUAACCGGUCAUCAUCGUUCUCCAGUUGUAAAUAUUUCUUUUCCUGCCUCGAGACUGUCCAGCUGGGACUUCUUUGGGCUAGAAUGAGUAGCAGAGACAUACCUGGGACACACUGGAUCGCUGCGAUUGGUUAAAGUCAUUGCUGAUCCAGGAUCAUGUCCUCGUUGAACAAAUCACGUCUAUCUGCAUAUCAUAUAAAAACAUUUCCAUGGUUUCUGUCCGUAAGAAUUCCAUGAGAGCGCUGAAACUUGUCGGAGCUUAAAAACGCAAGCCAGUCACCCAGAUUUACUAUUAGACAUCUGAUCUAGACAAGACCUUCACGACUCGGAUCCGUUUACACAGACCGAGGAUUACAGCGCAUUGGUUCUCAAGUUCAAGUGAUGCUGUCCAACCGGCUCGGUUGCGUCGACCAUUUUGGAAAGUUGGCAUGUCAUCAUCUAGUAAUUCGCCUUUAUACAUUAACCAUUCAACUUGAAUCCUUUUCCAUCAUCACUGACUUGAUCAAGGGAGUCUCUGAAUAUCGCUUUUCUGUUCAUGGAAAUGCUUUUACAUAUUUCACCGUCUCCAUUUUGCUCCUCUGAUUAUCAUUUUCCUCCUUGACCUCCUCAAAUCAGUUCGGCACAAAAAAAAAAGAUGAUCUAUUUUUAUUGUUCAGCUGUUGUGUAAUUACUGCAUUUGUCUCCACCCACUUCAUCGUCUCGGCCUCUUUCCUGUUCCAGGUCUUCGCCGAGUACGUCCUCGUCCUGCGCUUCCGCCUCCCCGUUCGGAGAAGAGCGCCGUCUCCUUAACGAGGUCUCUCCAUCACGCGGCCCGUACUCCUUCUCGUUGUGCUCGCUGUCGCUAGGAGACGGACUGGAGUGUGCGGACGAGGUCAUGCGCUCAUCAGGUGCUCCUGUCUGAGUGAGCGAGAGGACGAGGCAUCAGCGAGGCUAAUUAGAGCAGAAGAUUGUGCUCGGUAAUGAAUGUCUCACUCACACACACACACACUCACACACACCUGAUGCAUGUGAUUUGUCUGUUCUGCUUGGCUCUGGUCGGGUUCCUCGUCCUGAACGACUUCAGCAACUCUCUGGAAAAUAAGACAAUAAUAUGAUCUGCUGUGAGAAAUGGGUGUAUUUGUAAUUGCCACAGUUAAACCUAAUUUUAUUUAUUUAUUUUUUUAGAAAUUCAGUACCAUUUAUUUCCCUCCAGGUUUUAGGUAUAAAACGAUGCCAUGGCUCAUAUAGUGAGGACUACCAUGAGCUGUUUUUAAUCUAUAAUUAUUUAUCAUUUCUGUAGAUUCUCUAGUAAGACUUGCUCAUUCCUCACAAAUACAAGUCAGAAUUUUGUAGUCUUUAACUUGUUCUGUUGAAUGAAAGCGGUACGAACGAUAAUCCUGUUAAAACUGGUCCUCGUAAGUGACGACAGCUGAUUCAGCACCAUGGACAGUAGCCAGCGUCCCCCAAGUAAGAAAGAGCGAGCAGGUACUAAAUUUGCACGGGUUCGUUUAGACUAAUUGAAGGCUUAAUAAAGCUGUUGUUUUUCUAAAUUCAGUCUUUCGGAGUGGUAUGAGCGGAGACAGAACGGAGUUGACGGGAGGAGAUGAUGGAUGUCGGUCGAGAGUGAGUGAAGACGAGGAGUGACCACCUGAUCUACAGGAAGCUCCACAGCCGUGCUCUCGUCCUCAGCCACCUCCUCAGCUCCUCGCACCUCCUCUCUCUUCUUCUCUACGCCCUUAAACACGCUCGCUUGGCCUGCAGGACACACACACACACACACACACACACACAAGAUUCUUAUUUCUUUUAAAAUCCCGCAGCACCUACGCAGCUCUGUUUCGCGUUAAGAGCUGUCAUUAUGAAUUCGUUUCCUUUGGGACUUUAUUUCUCUCCUGCGCUCGUGCUGUUCCUGAAUCAGUUCUACAGAAUAAGGCAUGGCUUCUGGGUCUGGUAGUUCCUAUGAAGGAGGCGUGGCCUCUAUACUCAUCAGUCCCAGUGAAAGAGGCGUGGCCUCUAUACACAUCAAUCACAACAAAGGGUACGUUUUGUUUUUCGGAUUAAAAUAAAACCGUUCUCUGAAUAUAAAAAAAUCGCUUAUGCUGUAAUUUUAGGAACACAAUCUGAAUAUUUACAUAUUAAGAUCAAUAUUUAAACGUGUACAGUACACCUUCCUGAACCUUCUCUCCAUGCCGUUACCUGCGUUUCUGGCCACGGCUCUGCGUGCGAGUCUGUGUUUGCGCGCUCGUUCGGGUUUGGCGUAGAACAUGGAGCCCUCCUCUCCCUCUCUCAUCCUCUGCAGCGGCUGAGACAGAUUCGCUCCGUCGGCCUCGUCUCCCGUGGACUUCACGCGCCUGCCGUCCCUCUGAGACACACAGCCGUCGGCUAAUCACUGAUCACUGAACACUACACGGUCACUGUGCCACCGAUCGGACUUUUAAAUAAGUACGACAGGGCGCAAAAAAAAAAAUGCUAUUACCUCGGGUGAGUGAAGGAGGGCGGAGUCACUGUUGCUGUCUUGAGGAAACUUCCUGUUCUGUGAGACAUGGUGAAAAUAAACAGGAUUAGCACGGCGUCACUCAGCGCAGCUACAAAUGUGAUCCUGAGAAGGUGCUGCUUUACCUCGGACCUCCUGUGCAGGCCACGGUCUGCAACGUAAUGUCUAAAGAACGGACAAAGCAAAUAAAAAUCCGUCAGCCGUUUUAUACAUCACCACCGCCAUCAUCUUCAUCCUCCUCUUCCUCACCUGUCUGCACUGGCUCCCUGCGCUUUGUUCAGCAGCAGCUCCACGUACGGGAGUUUCUUGAAGCGCUCGGCACCCACGGCAACGAAACACUGUCCGCUCUCCAGCUCCUCCGCCGAGGUCACCGUCACGCCGUCCAGAGUGCACAGCCUGAGAGGUCGAAGGUCACAUGAAAGCUUAACAUUAAACAAAAAAAAAAACAACACCUGUCGACUGGAGUCUGCAGGCGGCGCACGCGCAAGGUGUGUGUUUACCUGCGAACGGCGCCGGUGCGCAGCAUGGCCUUCUCCGAGACCAGCCUGAGAAUCUGCUCCAGGUUUUUCAGAACGCUCCGAGGAAUGAUGAAGCGCAUGGCAGGACUGAGGACGUCUCCGUUCCUGAACACGCUGCACAGAGACGGGGUGUGUGUCAGCAUGCGGGUGUGCCGGGAGGAGAGGACGUAAUAUAAGCACGAGGGAAUGUGUGUUUCAUAAUGGUGUGAUUUAUAAUAAUUCCAUUUUGCACUAUAUGACUGUACUACAUUUCUGGAUGCUAAAAAAAUCUUUUGUAAAAUUCAGUAGCAAUAAACAUAAUAUUAUUCUUAGUAUUAUUUAUUUAUAUAUUUCUAUCGAGCUUUUCCGUCAGUCUCCAAGUGCUUUAUGUAUAAAUGAUUAAACGGAUAUUUAUAAUAAUAA